AGCGGUACGCGAGCUGGGUUCAGAACGUCGUGAGACAGUUCGGUCCCUAUCCGUCGCGGGCGCAGGAAAUUUGAGAGGAGCUGUCCUUAGUACGAGAGGACCGGGAUGGACGUUCCGCUGGUGUACCAGUUGUGCCGCCAGGCGCAUCGCUGGGUAGCUAUGAACGGAAGGGAUAAACGCUGAAAGCAUCUAAGUGUGAAGCCCCCCUCGAGAUGAGAUUUCCCAUUCCUAUAUGGAAGUAAGACCCCUGAAAGAUGAUCAGGUAGAUAGGCUGGAAGUGGAAGUGCAGCGAUGCAUGGAGCGGACCAGUACUAAUCGGUCGAGGACUUAACCAAG
rnacentral:rRNA from 2 species